AACUUACCACCUGGAAUAUUUCCAGUUUAUGUUCCCUGGUGGAAGAGUAGCUGAUUCAGAUUAAUCGGUUAGCAGCUGGCGCUUUAUGCUGACUCUGAAAGAGUCUCAUGGAUUCAAGUUUAAAUUGGAGAAGAGGAGAGAGAAGAGACGAGUGACAGGAAGAAGAUAAAUGUCCAGUGGACAGCUUGAUAUGGUGUGCAAGCCUAGAAAAAAGUCUGUGUCAACUACGUCAAGAAGACGUUUCCUCAAACAUGAUCCGUGGAAAACUUUCAUGCCUGUUGCUUUGGGCCAGUGGAAGGGUUAUACUUCCAACCUUCACGUUUUAAAAGGGCCUGGGGCCAAGAUGUGCAGAGAAGCUGGAGGUUCACGUACGUCACUCAGCGUGUCUCCUCAUUUCUCUUCUGCACCCGGGUGCUGCAGUCUCUCACCUGGGGUCCAGGGCUCCUGUGGAGAACGGACACACACAAAAGCCCUGUGCUGCCAGAAGACAGAGCGUCCCAUCAAGAAAAUGCAAGGGGAAUGAAGAAAGGACAGGGAAACCCUCAGGAUGGUGUGUGUGUUCAGACCCCACAGCAUCGAACUGCAGUGAGUCACAAAAACCCGGCACAAUGAAAUGAGACGGAAGCCCUAAACUUGUAAUAAAGAUCCUGCCUCAUGCGUCUCCCA
rnacentral:lncRNA from 1 species